UCGAACGCUUUGUGGUUCAACUGAUUUGAAGAGCUUGCUCAGAUAUGACGAUGGACAUUGCAAAGAGUGGCGAACGGGUGAGUAACACGUGGGAAACCUACCUCUUAGCAGGGGAUAACAUUUGGAAACAGAUGCUAAUACCGUAUAACAAUGACAACCGCAUGGUUGUUAUUUAAAAGAUGGUUCUGCUAUCACUAAGAGAUGGUCCCGCGGUGCAUUAGCUAGUUGGUAAGGUAAUGGCUUACCAAGGCGAUGAUGCAUAGCCGAGUUGAGAGACUGAUCGGCCACAAUGGGACUGAGACACGGCCCAUACUCCUACGGGAGGCAGCAGUAGGGAAUCUUCCACAAUGGGCGAAAGCCUGAUGGAGCAACGCCGCGUGUGUGAUGAAGGGUUUCGGCUCGUAAAACACUGUUGUAAGAGAAGAAUGACAUUGAGAGUAACUGUUCAAUGUGUGACGGUAUCUUACCAGAAAGGAACGGCUAAAUACGUGCCAGCAGCCGCGGUAAUACGUAUGUUCCAAGCGUUAUCCGGAUUUAUUGGGCGUAAAGCGAGCGCAGACGGUUAUUUAAGUCUGAAGUGAAAGCCCUCAGCUCAACUGAGGAAUUGCUUUGGAAACUGGAUGACUUGAGUGCAGUAGAGGAAAGUGGAACUCCAUGUGUAGCGGUGAAAUGCGUAGAUAUAUGGAAGAACACCAGUGGCGAAGGCGGCUUUCUGGACUGUAACUGACGUUGAGGCUCGAAAGUGUGGGUAGCAAACAGGAUUAGAUACCCUGGUAGUCCACACCGUAAACGAUGAGUGCUAGGUGUUUGAGGGUUUCCGCCCUUAAGUGCCGCAGCUAACGCAUUAAGCACUCCGCCUGGGGAGUACGACCGCAAGGUUGAAACUCAAAGGAAUUGACGGGGACCCGCACAAGCGGUGGAGCAUGUGGUUUAAUUCGAAGCAACGCGAAGAACCUUACCAGGUCUUGACAUCCCUUGACAACUCCAGAGAUGGAGCGUUCCCUUCGGGGACAAGGUGACAGGUGGUGCAUGGUUGUCGUCAGCUCGUGUCGUGAGAUGUUGGGUUAAGUCCCGCAACGAGCGCAACCCUUAUUACUAGUUGCCAGCAUUCAGUUGGGCACUCUAGUGAGACUGCCGGUGACAAACCGGAGGAAGGUGGGGAUGACGUCAAAUCAUCAUGCCCCUUAUGACCUGGGCUACACACGUGCUACAAUGGCGUAUACAACGAGUUGCCAACCCGCGAGGGUGAGCUAAUCUCUUAAAGUACGUCUCAGUUCGGAUUGUAGGCUGCAACUCGCCUACAUGAAGUCGGAAUCGCUAGUAAUCGCGGAUCAGCACGCCGCGGUGAAUACGUUCCCGGGUCUUGUACACACCGCCCGUCACACCAUGAGAGUUUGUAACACCC
rnacentral:rRNA from 1 species